ensembl:lncRNA uncharacterized LOC107601508
GAUGGGUAUUGGGUGACAGAAAACCCUGGCAGCAUUAGACCUGUUUCAAUCAGCUGCUCGAGCCUGGUGAAGAAACAUCUGCUUGUCAAAGGAUGCACUUUUGAAUAUAUUUCUUUAGAAGAUCAUUCAUUCUUCAGAUUACUGGAACUUUCAAAACAAAUUUUAAACAGACCCCAAAAAGCUACAAGGAUCACAUGCCCAAAUCAGAGCUAAAAAAUCAUUUUCAGAAAUUGCAAGGGAGGCAUCAACAGAGUAACGAAGCUAAAUACUGAUAGUGUUGCAAGUGUAUGAGAUGGAAAGAUACUUCACACCUGUGCGUGGCUCCUCAGAGGAUGAGGUGAAACUAUACAAACAUUACCAUCCCAUACCUCAACAGCAUCCUCACAACCAUCAUAAUCACCACCAUGGAUCACACAGUCAAAGCUCUUCAAGCACAAAAUCACUUGGAAAACACAGUGAUAAACAUACUCACCAUCCCCACGACAACCAACAUCACUUUUAUCAUCCCGCAAACCCUAAAAUGUCUGGAGACCAUCACAGCUUCUCUAAAAGGUCUUCUUCCAGCCUGUCCUCCUCCUCCUCCUCUUCUUCAUCUGCAUCUUGGACAUCAGAGCCCAGCCUGGAUGAUGAGACGUAUCUCAUGCACAAACCCCAGCAUUCCCUGUCCUGCUCCAACAUCCCUGAGGUUCGAAGGAAAAGCCAUAACAGAGAAUCCGAGGACUUUGAUUUUGAUCACAGAGAUCAGAGGCACCGCCACAGCCUUGAAAAUGUCGUUGAACUGCUGCCUGGUUCUCAGCAUGAACAUCGGAUGCCAAAACUCUCCCGGGGCCAUAGCAAAAGCGAGGAAGGCCUUCAACAAAACAAGCACAAACAUGAUUACUCAGAAGCAUCUCACUCCAUUGAUCAUGGGCCACUUUACAAGACUGCAAGCCUGGGACAAAGCCUAGCCUUUGGUGGCAAUAAUGACAACACUCUAGGUGGCAGGGUGGUUCCCAAGAAGGCUGUUUCAUCUAUUCAGCUGCCCAGCAAAGGUAUUCUGAAAAACAACUAUGAGGGACAGAAAGAAGGAAACUUCAGGAAAGCAAAGUCUAUGGAGGUGCUCUCCACCAGGGUGCACGUCACAGGAACAUCCAAGCAGAUCUCAAUGGAAGCUGCGAGGGAUAACUUUGUGAAAGGGAAGCUACAGUUCUCUGCAUUUCUGGACGAGAUCACCAAGCAGAUUAUCAGUCCCUGUGCUCUUAGCUCUUUUGGUGUAAACACAUCAACGCCACCAAAAUCUCCCAAUGAAGAGCGCAAGAACCGCAGUGGCAAGCAGGAGAGCUUUGUGCCAUCACCAAAACAGCAGCCCAUCAGAACUGAGAGACCUGAUUCAGGAAAAAACAAUUCAAGCUCACUUUCUCGAUCACAUAAGAGACCGAGCAAGUACCACAACCGAAACCUGACCAGUCCUCCACCGCCGCCCCGCCACUCUUCUAAAGCUGAAAGACAAGGGGCUGCUUCAGGUAAACAGCACCACAGGCAAUAUUCUCAGAUGCUCACUGAUGGUACCAGCACCAGCCCAGAAACUAUCCACACCAACCUCUCGAAACACAAAGGGCGACAUCAAAGUAGUCAUGGCCCCUCCAGACACUUUCAUACUAAGCAGGAGAAGGGAUCACCACCACUUUUGCGAGCCGCAGGGCUGGAGUCAGAGUCUCAGUCGAGUAAAUCAUCCACCAGUGCUAGUUCAGAGAAAAGUGACAGACCCAAACACAUGGGACACAGAAGGCAGUCCAAACCACAAAGGGAUUCAUCUGGUUCCGUGGACAGAGUUCAGAUGCUGGAGGAGUACAACAAAGAGCUACAUGAGAACCUGUUGCAGACGGUGGCAUGCAUUGAGAACAUGGAGGCAGAAUUGCAGUGUACCAAGACAGAGUUAGUCAGCUUCAAAGAGAAAUACAGAAGGCUUCAGGAAAGCUAUUCUGUUUCUCAGCAGGCAAACAGUGUCUUGGAGCAGAAACUCAAAUCUGCGGUAGACAGCUUGGACUCAGAGAGGAAGUUCCUCAUGCAGAGAGUCGCAGAUCUGACUAAACAGCUGGAUUCUGCUCAGAAGACCAUCAGCUCUUUAGAAAACAUCAAUGUUCCCUCAUUCAUUAGAGAGUUGUUGAAAAAUCACUUUGACUCUCAGGGAGCACUGGAGCACUUCUUAUGUCCUCGAACAUCUCCACAGCAACCUGAUUUUGACCAAUCAGAGAGGGCACAGGAGGUCACAAACAACCAACCAUCUGGUGGAAAAGAGGAUGUUUUUGAAUGGCCACAGACUGGACACACAUGUUCAGGUGCCAGACAACAGCCUGCCACAGCCUUUCUGCCAUGGAAACAUGAUCAUGUUCCAUGGGCAGGGCCAGGGCAACUCAUGGCUAAAGGAAGUGACUCACAACUUCCUUUUUCUUUUGGUGAUGAUGUGCCAAUCCACAAAACAAAGGCAGGUACAAAGGCCCCAAGUCAUCAAGUGCAUCAAUUAGCCAUGAACACAGAUAUCUACUUAAUUCCCCCAAACCCAUAUAAUUUAGAUGAGAUGAGGUUCAGCAGAAAGACAGGUGGAGAGGGAACCAUCACUGUGGGGAAAGAGCCCACUGAUGUCAGCUGUCUUGCAGCUCAUAGGAUGCUGAAUGAGUUUUUAAACCAGAUUCCUCCUCCAGUGCAUGAUGGUGAAGGGAAAGCUAGUUUAGAAGCAGAACUAACAGAGAGAAAGCAGUAACAUUUAAUUUGACAUCUUUUUGGUAAACUGAACUGGAUAAAAACCUCAAUAACAUCUCCCAUUACCAAUACUGCAGCAAGGAUGCAACUAACUGUGACUCUGAUGGCUCUUUGUUGGUAGUUGUGACACUUCAUUUCUACCUUCACAAGUUGCUGUAUGCAUAUAAGUUUGUAUAUACCAUCUGGUUUUGUGCUAUAUCCAUUUAAACUUUUAGUUUUCUGGUCUCCUGUUUUCAUUUGUAGUUCAGUGCAUUUGCAAAAGGCAUCCUCCAUGUUAGUGUUUUUGUACAUGUUUGCACUUUUUGCCCUGCAUAUUGUGAAAUAUUUAAGGUUAGCAAUAAAAUAAUAUAAUUCAAUAUUCAUAUUAUUUUAUUGCUUACCAAAAUUACUGUCAAUUU